CGCAGGGUGGAGCAGUCCGGAAACUCACCUGGUUCAUUGCCAGGAGAUCGCAAGUUCGAAUCUUGCCCCUGCAA
rnacentral:tRNA from 1 species